CAUGGAGAAGCAGCAACACCGUCUGUGGAUCAGUUCGUUUUGCAGCCUAGGUGUAUAGCAGGCUGUAUUUCACGCCCAAACGCAGGUGAAGGAAUGUCGCUCCCGUGAAAAGGUCAAUAUGUCUACUAAAGGACAUCUACAGACCACCAUCACCCUGCUGCACGACACCCUGAGACCCUCCUCAGACACCUGGCCAAUCGCUGGCUCUGAACAGAGUUGCCAUGGACACUGAGUCUAUCCAGUCUGGCUACUCCAGCCACUCCAACAGAUCUAACAG